rnacentral:lncRNA from 1 species
CGAGUGCGCACCCUGCUUCCCCGGUCCAGCGGCCGCGCCUCCUUCCUUUCUUCUCACGCCCGCCGCCAGGCAGGGCUGCUGCGCACGGGGCCUCCCAGCUAUCCGGCCUGGCAGCGCCCGGCCUGGCCCGGAGCUGCCCCCACGUGUGGGGAGAAGCUGGGGAAGAUAGUGAAAAUCUGAAAAGGGCAAGAAAAGCAAGCAUGCAAAAGCAGAAACUUCCUUCUUCCUCUGAGAGGGUAUCAUAA